GACCUCAGAUCAGGCAAGGCUACCCGCUGAAUUUAAGCAUAUUAAUAAGCGGAGGAAAAGAAACUAACAAGGAUUCCCUCAGUAACGGCGAGUGAAGCGGGAAGAGCUCAAAUUUGAAAUCUCCGGUGCUUGCAUCGGCGAGUUGUAGUUGCGAGAAGCACUUUCUAGGUGGAUCGGCGGUGCCUAAGUUGCUUGGAACAGCACGUCGCAGAGGGUGACAACCCCGUCUGUGGCGCCGCCGGCCGCUGACGAUG
rnacentral:rRNA from 1 species